rnacentral:rRNA from 1 species
AACGAACGCUGGCGGCAGGCUUAACACAUGCAAGUCGAACGGGCGCGAGCAAUCGCGUCAGUGGCAGACGGGUGAGUAACACGUGGGAACCUUCCUAGGGGUACGGAACAACUCAGGGAAACUUGAGCUAAUACCGUAUACGUCCGUAAGGAGAAAGAUUCAUCGCCCCUAGACGGGCCCGCGUCGGAUUAGCUAGUUGGUGGGGUAACGGCCUACCAAGGCGACGAUCCGUAGCUGAUCUGAGAGGAUGAUCAGCCACACUGGGACUGAGACACGGCCCAGACUCCUACGGGAGGCAGCAGUGGGGAAUCUUGGACAAUGGGCGCAAGCCUGAUCCAGCCAUGCCGCGUGAGUGAAGAAGGCCUUAGGGUUGUAAGCUCUUUUACCAGGGACGAUAAUGACGGUACCUGGAGAAUAAGCCCCGGCAAACUUCGUGCC